UGUCUUGAAACUCAGAAAACAAAGUUCAUCAGAAGCUCUAAAACCAGUCUGUGUAUUAGAAUCACCUGGGAGUUUUCAAAGAUCACUAUGCCCAGAUGAAUACGUGAUCUGAUGCCUUUAAUUAGCUGACAAAUAACUGGAACCACCAAUGUGCAAACGAGCCAAGAGCAAAUGCUCCAGCAAUCCUCCUAGGGACCAGAAGGUGGCGCACACUUUUCAGAAAUACCAAAACAUGCCGCUGGAAACCAAUCCUGAAGAGGCCCCGCAGUCUAACACCGGC